rnacentral:rRNA from 1 species
UACGGAGGGUGCAAGCAUUAAUCGGAAUUACUGGGCGUAAAGCGUGCGUAGACGGUUAUGUAAGUCGGGUGUGAAAGCCCCGGGCUCAACCUGGGAAUGCCAUUCGAGACUGCAUAGCUAGGGUGCGGAAGAGGGAAGCGGAAUUUCCGGUGUAGCGGUGAAAUGCGUAGAUAUCGGAAGGAACACCAGUGGCGAAAGCGGCUUCCUGGUCCAGCACCGACGUUCAGGCACGAAAGCGUGGGGAGCAAACAGG